CCUACGGGAGGCAGCAGUAAGGAAUAUUGGUCAAUGGACGCAAGUCUGAACCAGCCAUGCCGCGUGAAGGAUGAAUGCCCUCUGGGUUGUAAACUUCUUUUAUAGGGGACGAAAAAGGGUCUUUUUAGAUCAACUGACGGUACCCUAGGAAUAAGCACCGGCUAACUCCGUGCCAGCAGCCGCGGUAAUACGGAGGGUGCAAGCGUUAUCCGGAUUUACUGGGUUUAAAGGGUGCGUAGGUGGGUUGGUAAGUCAGCGGUGAAAUCUUCGGGCUUAACUCGGAAACUGCCAUUGAUACUAUCAGCCUUGAAUAUCCUGGAGGUGAGCGGAAUAUGUCAUGUAGCGGUGAAAUGCUUAGAUAUGACAUAGAACACCAAUUGCGAAGGCAGCUCACUACGGGAUUAUUGACACUGAGGCACGAAAGCGUGGGGAUCAAACAGGAUUAGAUACCCUGGUAGUCCACGCCCUAAACGAUGGAUACUCGACAUUUGCGAUAUACAGUAAGUGUCUGAGCGAAAGCAUUAAGUAUCCACCUGGAAGUACGAUCGCAAGAUUGAAACUUAAAGGAAUUGACGG
rnacentral:rRNA from 1 species